rnacentral:rRNA from 1 species
GAUCAUGGCUCAGGAUGAACGCUGGCGGCGUGCUUAACACAUGCAAGUCGAACGAAGCACUUUAAUUGAUUUCUUCGGAAUGAAGUUUUGUGACUGAGUGGCGGACGGGUGAGUAACGCGUGGGUAACCUGCCUCAUACAGGGGGAUAACAGUUGGAAACGACUGCUAAUACCGCAUAAGCGCACAGGAUUGCAUGAUCCAGUGUGAAAAACUCCGGUGGUAUGAGGUGGACCCGNGU